rnacentral:rRNA from 1 species
AGAGUUUGAUCCUGGCUCAGAUUGAACGCUGGCGGAAUGCUUUACACAUGCAAGUCGAACGGCAGCACGGGGGCAACCCUGGUGGCGAGUGGCGGACGGGUGAGUAAUACAUCGGAACGUGCCCAGUCGUGGGGGAUAACGCAGCGAAAGCUGUGCUAAUACCGCAUACGAUCUACGGAUGAAAGCGGGGGACUCGCAAGGGCCUCGCGCGAUUGGAGCGGCCGAUGGCAGAUUAGGUAGUUGGUGGGGUAAAGGCUCACCAAGCCUGCGAUCUGUAGCUGGUCUGAGAGGACGACCAGCCACACUGGGACUGAGACACGGCCCAGACUCCUACGGGAGGCAGCAGUGGGGAAUUUUGGACAAUGGGCGCAAGCCUGAUCCAGCCAUUCCGCGUGCAGGAUGAAGGCCUUCGGGUUG